ensembl:lncRNA
AUGGAACUGAGUUCAGUUCUCUGCUCCGCUAAUUACUCAUUUUGUGUUUUUAGCAAGUUCCUUUGAGACAAAAUCCCCAGCACCCACACGUAAAGGAGGAGAGGUUUAUUUUGGUUCAUGUUUUCAGUCCAUGGUUGGCUGGCUCUGGGACGGCAAGGUGAGGGUAGAAAGGUCUGAGGAAGGAAAGCUGCUCAGUCGUGGUGGCCUUGAAGCGGAGACAGAAGGCAGGGGCUGUGGGAAGACAUGAGCUCACUCCCAGCUAGCUCCACUUCCCAACAGCAGCUCAGCUAUAUCAACCUUGUGGUCCAUUUGCCUUCCAAAGGGGCAGCCUCCAAAGCAUAUCUGAGUGUGGGGAUCACUGUUGAUCUAAACCACAACACUUCAUCUCUUAUAGAUGUCACAUAAAUACCAGGUUUAAAGGACAACUCGGGAAAUAGGUGGCUCAGUCCCUGACGAAGAACACCGCAAACAGAGCUUCAGUCUUUGAUGCUGGAGUAUAAUCCUGCUUUCCUCUCUUCAGUCUCGGAAGGUGAAUGAACAGUGGCAACUGCCCGGAGUAACUGAACUCUGAUUCCUCCUGUGGGCUGGAAAAGGAAACUCUCUGAAGCCAAAGAAGACAGAGCAAUUUCUAGAGAGAAGGGAGAGGCCAAGAAGGCUCUGUCCAACUAGAGAACUGUGGGACCAGCAGAAAAGUUUCAAGCCUGGGUCACCAGGAGACUCAAAGAGCUGCUGCCGCGACGCCCCACCCAGGGAGUCUCCCAGUGGAGAACAGGAAGUGCCUGGUGCCUCAGUUCUUCCCUUCAGUGACCACACCACAGGCUCGUCAAUACCUCUGACUCCGCAGGGGGUGACUGGCAGGCUCUGGUUCACACCUGCUUCCGUGUGAACCAGCGCUUCUUUCUUUCGAACUGGAACUGAAGAUCCUCCCAGAUACACCUGACAGUCCAAGGAGCUGGAAUGCACAUCAAACAAAGCAGGCAGAAGCGGGCGUUUCAUCAAGCCAAACCAGCACCGCAAGCCUCCCACUGCCGCCGUGGGGAGUUUCCGAAGACCAGAGAAGCACGGGCCAGUUAGAGGCUGCCAAAUUCAAGACAGCCGGUUCCCUCGGAGGCUGCCAGCCACUCUUCCUGCCAACAAGACCUGGAAACGGCCUUACCACACAGCUCCUGGGUUCCCCUUACUUUUUCCACUGCGAAUGUAGCCUGAUUAGAGCGAGCGUGCAGAAGCACUAGAGGCGUACAUUCAGAAAACAUAUUUUGAACAAACUUUAUCUUUCUGAUCUUCAUUUUCUUGUUGUGAGAACGGGGAGGCAGACUAGAUCAGAGCUUCUCAUCCCUGGGUGCUCACAAAACCAUCCGGGAGCUUUAAAAAUGCAUACUUCUGGGCCCUUUACCGACCAAUUAAACCAGAACCUCUAAGUAUUUUUCAAAAACUCCCUAGAUGUUUCUAAUAGAUGCUGCUAGAUGCUGCCUGUGGUUAUUUCUACAUCAAACAUUUAUUUGUGAUCCUUCAUAUAAAGUGCAAC